UACGUAGGGGGCUAGCGUUGUCCGGAAUCAUUGGGCGUAAAGCGCGCGUAGGCGGCCCGGUAAGUCCGCUGUAAAAGUCAAAGGCUCAACCUUUGAAUGUCAGUGGAUACUGCCGGGCUAGAGUCCGGAAGAGGCGAGUGGAACUCCUGGUGUAGCGGUGGAAUGCGCAGAUAUCAGGAAGAACACCGACGGCGAAGGCAGCUCGCUGGGGCGGUACUGACGCUGAGGCGCGAAAGCGUGGGGAGCGAACAGG
rnacentral:rRNA from 1 species